rnacentral:rRNA from 1 species
CUCAACCUCGGGCCUGCAGUGGGUACGGGCAGACUAGAGUGCGGUAGGGGAGAAUGGAACUCCUGGUGUAGCGGUGGAAUGCGCAGAUAUCAGGAAGAACACCGAUGGCGAAGGCAGUUCUCUGGGCCGUAACUGACGCUGAGGAGCGAAAGCGUGGGGAGCGAACAGGAUUAGAUACCCUGGUAGUCCACGCCGUAAACGUUGGGCGCUAGAUGUGGGGACCAUUCCACGGUUUCCGUGUCGCAGCUAACGCAUUAAGCGCCCCGCCUGGGGAGUACGGCCGCAAGGCUAAAACUCAAAGGAAUUGACGGGGGCCCGCACAAGCGGCGGAGCAUGCGGAUUAAUUCGAUGCAACGCGAAGAACCUUACCAAGGCUUGACAUACACGAGAACGGGCCAGAAAUGGUCAACUCUUUGGACACUCGUGAACAGGUGGUGCAUGGUUGUCGUCAGCUCGUGUCGUGAGAUGUUGGGUUAAGUCCCGCAACGAGCGCAACCCUCGUUCUAUGUUGCCAGCACGUGAUGGUGGGAACUCAUAGGAGACUGCCGGGGUCAACUCGGAGGAAGGUGGGGAUGACGUCAAAUCAUCAUGCCCCUUAUGUCUUGGGCUUCACGCAUGCUACAAUGGCCGGUACAAAGGGCUGCGAUACCGUAAGGUGGAGCGAAUCCCAAAAAGCCGGUCUCAGUUCGGAUUGAGGUCUGCAACUCGACCUCAUGAAGUCGGAGUCGCUAGUAAUCGCAGAUCAGCAACGCUGCGGUGAAUACGUUCCCGGGCCUUGUACACACCGCCCGUCAAGUCAUGAAAGUCGGUAACACCGGAAGUGCGCUGGC